UAAUAUUACAAUUAGGUGGAGGUGGAAUUAGGUGUCAUGUAUUGUGAUGUAUUAACGCAGUCAAUUCAGAGGACAUGGCAGUGCGCCAGUUGGAAUUAGUGAGGCUUUAGAGAUACUCGUAGGUUUCAAGGAGGGUGGAAGAGGGUGUUUAGUGACUACAAAAGAUUUUUUUGGCUUAUAUAUAUCAUUCAUGGAUCGAGUGGUCAUUCUAUAGAUGCACACUUUUGUAUAGGAGAACAUGGAGUACUUACCUGGCGGGGAAGAGAUGCAGGGGAUGAUCCAUUCACAGAUGAGUACUUACCUGGCGGGGAAG
rnacentral:lncRNA from 1 species